AUCCAGCUGACGAAUCCCUGAUAGGAUGAAACGCGCGUUAAACUAGAU
rnacentral:hammerhead_ribozyme from 1 species